AGAAAUACUAGGCUUUAGAAUUUCACCUUAUGAAUUUUGGGAGAGAGGAGCACAGUUCAGCCCAUAACUAACACACGACGGAAUGAAGUUGAUAAUAGUGAGACCUUGUUGGUACAAGACUCUGUAACAUAACCUGCGCUUCUCAACAAAGAAUUGCUUUUCUGACUUCUGCACUCAGUUCUUUCCUCCAGCUCACUUUAUUGUAAGAAGCUUGGUGUCUGUAAUCGACUCGGAACCCUUGCUGCUCUUUCACUGAAUAUCGCUGUCUGGAGCAACACGUUGUCCUGGAUAGCUAACGUGUUUAUGAAUGCAAGGAAAUUUUCAAAAAGAGAGUUUGAAAUUUAACUCCACAAACUACUAUCUGGAUUGGAACGCUACAUUAAAUGUAUUAUAAUUUUGUAUGGACAUAUAAGGAUGGGGAAUGAAAAGGAUCCAAGGCCAUAUGUUGAUAAUCUUUUGAUAUGUUAAGAAAUAAUCUAGUGUUAUUUUCUAUUUCUUCUCAAAUGUUUUUAGAGGUUACUUGGUACACUGGUCGACAAAACCUUGAAAUGUUGAUGUUUAAGGGCUGUUGAUUGCUGGCAACAAAGAAGUCCAACUGUGCUGGUACCCGAGAUAGCGUCUCCACAUUUUCUUCCAGGAUCAUCACCUUUGUUGUAAAUAGCUCCCACAUAGUGUGAACAGAAGUCAUAUGUUUUAGAUUUUCUGCCUUGGCACCCAGG
rnacentral:lncRNA from 1 species